CAUCUCCUCCCUCAACGUUACUUUCUCGCUAAAGCUGAGCUCUCUCAUCUCUGUCACUGUGGCUCAGUUGCUCUCGCACAAGCUCUCUCCCUCUCUCGGCUCCGGUCUCUCUACUGUCUCCGGUAUCCCACUCAAGCUCGUCGUCCCUCUUUGUGCCGUCACUCACCACCAUCUCGCAUCAGUCGCGCUCACGCGCCUUUCCUGCCCUCGUCGUCGUCAGCGGCAGAAGCAGCAGGUCCCGGGAUUGGUCGUCGUCAUCGCUCCUUGUCUCAUCACCGUCUCACACUCAAUCCCGCGCCUUUGUUGCCAUUGUUGUGCUCGUCGCCGCCGCCGGCAGAAGCAUCCGGUUCCGGGAUUGAUUUUCGUUGUCGUCUUCUUGCUUCGACUUUCGCCACCAGCUUCCUCUUCGCCGUCAGCUUCCUUCGCACAACCAGAAGCUGGUCUCCAAUUUGCUUGUGCCUUUGAAUCAAAUGAAAAGAUUUGUCAAUGAAAUUUCCUUGCAAAAGUGAAGGUGGCAGAAGCUCCAAACAGAUUAAAGAUCCCUCACGUUCAUUGCUGCAACACAGGCAAGCAGCUUUGAAUAGAGUGAAAGGCUCACUUGACUGCUCUCAAUUGGAGAUUAACUGGCAUUUAGAUCCAUCGUAAUUCCACCAUUCAAUGUAUUUUAAUGAAUUAAUAACAAAAGAUUGAAAAAAUUGGCAAAACAUAGGCCAAAUAUUUAAUAUCAACUGUACUAUAGGCAUUGAUUCAUUGUUGUAAUAGAAGUUACCUAUAAUGUAUUAUCUUGAGGAAGCUUAUCCUCUUAUAGCAAAUAUUAAAUUCAUACAUGUAAUCGAAAUAUGAUCUUUAUCAAAUACAUUUGAACUUUUCCGUCAA